rnacentral:rRNA from 1 species
CAAUAGCGUAUACUAAUGUUGUUGCAGUUAAAAAGCUCGUAGUUGAACUUCUGGUAGGAGUGUCCCGGCCUUUUUGUUUUUACAAAUUGUAUGCUGUGUGACAUCUCUGGCCAUCCUUCUUCUUUGUUUAAAGAAGAUCUUUCACUGUAAAAAAAUUAGGGUAUUCAAAGCAAAAGUUUCUUUGGAAUAUAUUAGUAUGGGAUGAUAAGAUAGGCUCUAGAUGCUAUUUUGUUGGUUUGCACAUUUAGAGAAUGAUUAACAGGGACAGUUGGGGGUAUUCGUAUUUACAUGUCAGAGGUGAAAUUCUUGGAUUUUGGAAAGACGAACUACUGCGAAAGCAUUUACCAAGGAUGUUUUCAUUAA